rnacentral:rRNA from 1 species
GAUGAACGCUGGCGGCGUGCCUAAUACAUGCAAGUCGAGCGAACAGACGAGGAUCUUGCUCCUCUGACGUUCGCGGCGGACGGGUGUGUGACACGUGUAUAACCUUCCUAUUAUACUGGGAGAACUUCGGGAAAACGCAGCUAAUACCGGAUGUUAUAUUGUACAGUAUCGUUCAUUAGUGAAUGACGCUUUUGCUGUCCCUUAUGGAUGUGUCCGUGCUGCAGUAGCUAGUUGGGAAGGUAACGGCUUACCAAGGCGACGAUGCGUAGCCGAUCUGAGAGGGUGAUCGGCCACACUACAAGUGAGACACGGUACAGACUCCUACGGGAGGCAGCGGAAGGGAAUCGAACGAAAAGGGCGAAAGGCUGACGGAGCAAAGCCGCGUGAGGGAUGAAGGGCUUCGGAUCGUAAAAGUCAGUUAUUAGGGAAGAACAAAAGUGUAAGUAACUCUGCACGACUUGACGGUACCUAAUCAAAAAGCCCCGGCUAACUACGUG